rnacentral:rRNA from 1 species
GACGAACGCUGGCGGCGUGCUUAACACAUGCAAGUCGAACGAUGAAGAAGAGCUUGCUCUUCGGAUUAGUGGCGAACGGGUGAGUAACACGUGACUAACCUGCCCCUUUCUCCGGGAUAACGCUCCGAAAGGAGUGCUAAUACUGGAUACUCACAUCGAGGCACAUGCCUUGAUGUGGAAAGUUUUUCGGAAAGGGAUGGAGUCGCGGCCUAUCAGCUUGUUGGUGAGGUAACGGCUCACCAAGGCGACGACGGGUAGCCGGCCUGAGAGGGCGACCGGCCACACUGGGACUGAGACACGGCCCAGACUCCUACGGGAGGCAGCAGUGGGGAAUAUUGCACAAUGGGCGAAAGCCUGAUGCAGCGACGCCGCGUGAGGGAUGAAGGUCUUCGGAUUGUAAACCUCUUUCAGUAGGGACGAAGCGAAAGUGACGGUACCUAAAGAAGAAGCACCGGCUAACUACGUGCCAGCCGCCGCGGUAA